GCAGGCUUGGCCGAAUGGUUGCGCUGUCCGCUUUGCAACCGGAAGAUCAUGGGUUCGAUUCCCAUCUGCU
rnacentral:tRNA from 1 species